rnacentral:rRNA from 1 species
UACGAAGGGGGGCUAGCGUUGUUCGGAAUUACUGGGCGUAAAGCGCGCGCAGGCAGCUAUCCAAGUCAGUGGUGAAAGCCCGGAGCUCAACUCCGGACUGCCAUUGAAACUGUUUAGCUUGAGGAUGAGAGAGGUGAGUGGAAUUCCCAGUGUAGAGGUGAAAUUCGUAGAUAUUGGGGGAGAACACCGGUGGCGAAGGCGGCUCACUGGCUCAUUACUGACGCUGAGGUGCGAAAGCGUGGGGGAGCAAA